AUAUAUUUCUAUGUACAUAUUCUUAUUAAUUCCUUUAUACUUGUGUGUACACUCACAUUAACAUCUGCUAUAUGCUGGCUGUACUCAGCCUUGUCUCAGGGUAGUAGGGUGGUAGAUAUCCCUCUAGUGGUGUGGGGGCUAUACUCAGCCUUGUCUCGGGGUAGUAGGGUGGUAGAUAUCCCUCUAGUGAUGUGGGGGCUGUACUCAGCCUUGUCUCAGGGUAGUAGGGUGGUAGAUAUCCCUCUAGUGGUGUGGGGGCUAUACUCAGCCUUGUCUCAGGGUGGUAGAUAUCCCUCUAGUGGUGUGGGGGCUAUACUCAGCCUUGUCUCAGGGUAGUAGGGUGGUAGAUAUCCCUCUAGUGGUGUGGGGGCUAUACUCAGCCUUGUCUCAGGGUAGUAGGUUGGUAGAUAUCCCUCUAGUGGUGUGGGGGCUAUACUCAGCCUGGUCUCAGGGUAGUAGGGUGGUAGAUAUCCCUCUAGUGGUGUGGGGGCUAUACUCAGCCUUGUCUCAGGGUAGUAGGUUGGUAGAUAUCCCUCUAGUGGUGUGGGGGCUAUACUCAGCCUUGUCUCAGGGUAGUAGGUUGGUAGAUAUCCCUCUAGUGGUGUGGGGGCUAUACUCAGCCUUGUCUCAGGGUAGUAGGGUGGUAGAUAUCCCUCUAGUGGUGUGGGGGCUAUACUCAGCCUUGUCUCAGGGUAGUAGGUUGGUAGAUAUCCCUCUAGUGGUGUGGGGGCUAUACUCAGCCUUGUCUCAGGGUAGUAGGGUGGUAGAUAUCCCUCUAGUGGUGUGGGGGCUAUACUCAGCCUUGUCUCAGGGUAGUAGGUUGGUAGAUAUCCCUCUAGUGGUGUGGGGGCUAUACUCAGCCUUGUCUCAGGGUAGUAGGGUGGUAGAUAUCCCUCUAGUGGUGUGGGGGCUAUACUCAGCCUUGUCUCAGGGUAGUAGGUUGGUAGAUAUCCCUCUAGUGGUGUGGGGGCUAUACUCAGCCUUGUCUCAGGGUAGUAGGGUGGUAGAUAUCCCUCUAGUGGUGUGGGGGCUAUACUCAGCCUUGUCUCAGGGUAGUAGGGUGGUAGAUAUCCCUCUAGUGGUGUGGGGGCUAUACUCAGCCUUGUCUCAGGGUAGUAGGGUGGUAGAUAUCCCUCUAGUGGUGUGGGGGCUAUACUCAGCCUUGUCUCAGGGUAGUAGGGUGGUAGAUAUCCCUCUAGUGGUGUGGGGGCUAUACUCAGCCUUGUCUCAGGGUAGUAGGGUGGUAGAUAUCCCUCUAGUGGUGUGGGGGCUAUACUCAGCCUUGUCUCAGGGUAGUAGGUUGGUAGAUAUCCCUCUAGUGGUGUGGGGGCUAUACUCAGCCUUGUCUCAGGGUAGUAGGGUGGUAGAUAUCCCUCUAGUGGUGUGGGGGCUAUACUCAGCCUUGUCUCAGGGUAGUAGGUUGGUAGAUAUCCCUCUAGUGGUGUGGGGGCUAUACUCAGCCUUGUCUCAGGGUGGUAGAUAUCCCUCUAGUGGUGUGGGGGCUAUACUCAGCCUUGUCUCAGGGUAGUAGGUUGGUAGAUAUCCCUCUAGUGGUGUGGGGGCUAUACUCAGCCUUGUCUCAGGGUAGUAGGGUGGUAGAUAUCCCUCUAGUGGUGUGGGGGCUAUACUCAGCCUUGUCUCAGGGUAGUAGGUUGGUAGAUAUCCCUCUAGUGGUGUGGGGGCUAUACUCAGCCUGGUCUCAGGGUAGUAGGGUGGUGGUUGGUAGAUAUCCCUCUAGUGGUGUGGGGGCUAUACUCAGCCUUGUCUCAGGGUAGUAGGUUGGUAGAUAUCCCUCUAGUGGUGUGGGGGCUAUACUCAGCCUGGUCUCAGGGUAGUAGGGUGGUAGAUAUCCCUCUAGUGGUGUGGGGGCUAUACUCAGCCUUGUCUCAGGGUAGUAGGGUGGUAGAUAUCCCUCUAGUG